GCGGGUGCAAGGUGCCACAUGUGUUUGGUAAGAUCAUUUAUGACGUUCGCACUCCACCAAAGUCUCUCCUCACUUGUUCUUCGCUCAAACCCAGGUUCGAGUGUGUGCUAGAAGACCCAGGAGCCUCUGUCAGGAAAUAUUCCCAGAAAUGAUCGUUUGCACCUGUGGGAGUAGAUGAAUCUGUUGUCUCUAAUUCUGAUUCUUUUACAGCUUCAACCAAAGGAGCACUAGUACUAGUUGCGGGCUUGAAGUUUGCAUCAAACUGUGGAAAUUCAAGUGGAAAUUUUGGGCUGUUGACAUGAUUGAUACAUGCGGGUAGCUCAGGAGAUGAAGGAAUAUCCAUAGAAUGCAGUGAAGAUUGAUGUGAAAUAGGUGAGCACGUUUCUCCAUCUACGGAAGACGUGCUUGGCUCCCUAACAUGGAUAGGUGAAGGCUGCGAUGCUAAGGCGAAAUCUUGCAUAUCUUGAGUAAAAGCUUCCCCUGCUC
rnacentral:misc_RNA from 1 species